rnacentral:lncRNA from 1 species
GAGGUGACGUAGAUGGAGAAGGAGGUGCAAGCUAAGUUCUGCGGUGUGGGGUCUUGAAGGAGCCCAUCGUAAAAGAAAGUGGAGGAGGAACGGUGACUGCAAGGGUAACGGCAUCAACAUCGAUAGCAAUCUCUCUCCCUCUGUCUUCCUUUUUCCCUCUGAUUCUUCCUUGCCAUUGCCGACUCCUCCGGCUCCCUCCUCUGGCUCUCCGACAACCCC